GACGAACCGAGCGAACGUUAUUCGGAAUCACUGGGCUUAAAGGGUGCGUAGGCGGGCUGUCAAGUCUGGGGUGAAAUCCCGCGGCUCAACCGUGGAACUGCCUCAGAUACUGAUGGCCUCGAGGGAGGUAGGGGCAUGCGGAACUGUAGGUGGAGCGGUGAAAUGCGUUGAUAUCUACAGGAACUCCGGUGGCGAAAGCGGCGUGCUGGACCUCUUCUGACGCUGAGGCACGAAAGCUAGGGGAGCAAACGGG
rnacentral:rRNA from 1 species